rnacentral:rRNA from 1 species
CGCUGACGAGUGGCGGACGGGUGAGUAAUGUCUGGGAAACUGCCUGAUGGAGGGGGAUAACUACUGGAAACGGUAGCUAAUACCGCAUAACGUCGCAAGACCAAAGAGGGGGACCUUCGGGCCUCUUGCCAUCGGAUGUGCCCAGAUGGGAUUAGCUAGUAGGUGGGGUAACGGCUCACCUAGGCGACGAUCCCUAGCUGGUCUGAGAGGAUGACCAGCCACACUGGAACUGAGACACGGUCCAGACUCCUACGGGAGGCAGCAGUGGGGAAUAUUGCACAAUGGGCGCAAGCCUGAUGCAGCCAUGCCGCGUGUAUGAAGAAGGCCUUCGGGUUGUAAAGUACUUUCAGCGGGGAGGAAGGGAGUAAAGUUAAUACCUUUGCUCAUUGACGUUACCCGCAGAAGAAGCACCGGCUAACUCCGUGCCAGCAGCCGCGGUAAUACGGAGGGUGCAAGCGUUAAUCGGAAUUACUGGGCGUAAAGCGCACGCAGGCGGUUUGUUAAGUCAGAUGUGAAAUCCCCGGGCUCAACCUGGGAACUGCAUCUGAUACUGGCAAGCUUGAGUCUCGUAGAGGGGGGUAGAAUUCCAGGUGUAGCGGUGAAAUGCGUAGAGAUCUGGAGGAAUACCGGUGGCGAAGGCGGCCCCCUGGACGAAGACUGACG